UACAGAGGUCUCAAGCGUUGUUCGGAUUCAUUGGGCGUAAAGGGUGCGUAGGCGGCGCGGUAAGUCGGGUGUGAAAUCUCGGAGCUUAACUCCGAAACUGCAUUCCAUACUGCGGUGCUUGAGGACUGGAGAGGAGACUGGAAUUUACGGUGUAGCAGUGAAAUGCGUAGAGAUCAUGAGGAAGACCAGUGGCGAAGGCGGGUCUCUGGACAGUUCCUGACACUGAGACACGAAGGCCAGGGGAGCAAACGGG
rnacentral:rRNA from 1 species